GGGAAUGUUUCUGACACUCCAAUAGCCACCUAAUCUCAAGUCGAGAGGGAUGGUAUUGUCGUGAGGAGUAGCAGGAGAUCCUUAGUGUAUGGUCAAUUUGACCAUAGGUGUUUGAUGAAUUAACCAUAUGUGUGGUGGUUUGGGUGGCAUGUUGUUUCACCACACAUGUGGAUGUUCCCCAAGAGUUCGACACCAAUUCAAUAUCUGAAU
rnacentral:lncRNA from 1 species